AGUGAACGCUGGCGGUAGGCCUAACACUUCCAGUCGGACGGCAGCACCGUAAGAGCUUGCUCUUACGGGUGGCGAGUGGCGGACGGGUGAGGAAUACCUCGGAAUCUACUUUUUCGUGGGGGAUAACGUAGGGAAACUUACGCUAAUACCGCAUACGACCUACGGGUGAAAGCAGGGGAUCUUCGGACCUUGCGCGAUUGAAUGAGCCGAUGUCGGAUUAGCUAGUUGGCGGGGUAAAGGCCCACCAAGGCGACGAUCCGUAGCUGGUCUGAGAGGAUGAUCAGCCACACUGGAACUGAGACACGGUCCAGACUCCUACGGGAGGCAGCAGUGGGGAAUAUUGGACAAUGGGCGCAAGCCUGAUCCAGCCAUACCGCGUGGGUGAAGAAGGCCUUCGGGUUGUAAAGCCCUUUUGUUGGGAAAGAAAAGCAGCAGGUUAAUACCCCGCUGUUCUGACGGUACCCAAAGAAUAAGCACCGGCUAACUUCGUG
rnacentral:rRNA from 1 species